UACACUUCUGAAGCAUACUCUAAAAAACAAACAAACAAAAAUCUCCCACAAACCUGGUACUCUGAGGACAUCCCAGCUUUCUGUGUGGGACACCACACGCUCACUGAAGGGCAUGAUACUGAAUUAUGUCUUUUUAAGUCAUGCCACCUGUUGUGGGAGCUGCGGGAAGAAAAGAAAUGAAUGUAGUGAAAUAAAAGAAACCAAAACAGCAACAAAAGAACGACUUCCUUUUUCCCCACUGAUUUUGGCCAGAGGAAGAAAACAAGUAAUUGUAAUAAGCUGACGUGUUUCGGGGAAGCCAUGAAAGUAGGCACGUGUCCAUGUGCCCAAAGGCCUAAUGAGAAGCAGGCAGUAGACCUACAAGAAAUUUAGUCCCCUCUUCUUCCCUUCCCACUCCCCUUAUUUCUGUGUGUGUUUUUUUUUUUUUUUUUUUUUUUUUUUUUUUUUUAAACUCUGGAUUUAUAGGGAAGCUCAGGGUGGGCAUGGGGCAGACGCAUGGGUUCUGCCAGGUGCUGUUUCUCAGGGAACACGGGAGGCUGUUGUCUAUGGGGACGGGUGGGGCUGGAGCAGGCUCUGUGACAGUCAGAGGCUCUCCCCAACCCCGGCCAGCGACCUCCCUUGGGUACCUUGAAAUCAGCCACGGCGGGAGUAUUUACGCCGCGGAGAUGGCAGCACGACACAGCCCUGCUUUGCGGGUGGGAGUGAAGAGAGCCGCUCACUAAACAUUAACUAGCACCCCACGGAGCUGGAGUCCAGGCAAAAUCCAAAGCGACUGGAAGGGCAGUUUGUUAACUCAUUCAGCCGCCUCCUCGCCCCACAGCUAACGAAUUCUUGGGCGCCAGCCUGGACAGAAAGGGGAGGAGACAAGCCUGCUGUGAUGAUACUUUAACGAUGAUACAGGAAAAUGACAGGAUAGGUACCAUGUCAUAGGAAGAAUACUUGGAAGACCUGGGCUCAUUUUAUUGAGGCAUCCGUCCACAAAUGCCUAUGGAGCAUUCAGGCUUUCCAGAAAUAUUCAUGGAAUACUUUCUGUGUAUAAAGUGGGCAUUCGAUGGAUGGAGUUUAGCUCUUGUCGCCAGGCUGGAGUGCAGUGGCGCAAUCUCAGUUCACUGCAACCUCCACCUCCCAGGUUCAAGCGAUUCUCCUGCCUCAGCCUCCUGAGUACCUGGGAUUACAGGCAAGUACCACUACACCCGGCUUAUUUUUUGUGUUUUUAGUAGAGAAGGGUUUCGCCAUGUUGGGCAGGCUGGUCUCGAACUCCUGACCUCAGGUGAUCUGCCCACCUCGACCUCCCAAAGUGCUGGGAUUACAGGCGUGAGCCACCGCGCCCGGCCAGCAUAUAUACUUUUAAAACAAGAGCUUAAAAAUUUGGGGAUGGAAAUAAACAAGAGAAUGAGAUAGAAAAGGCCGGAAGAGAUAGGAAAUGCUGUAGGAACACUUAAGGAUUGUGGCUAAAAAAGCUGUGAUAUGAAGUCAGGGCGUCAGUUCACUUGAGGGAGGAACUUUUUGUGUGUAACUCCCAGCCCUGCCACUUGCUGCCAUGUGCCUACCAUGAUGGGUUGUGUGGGUGAACUUAGGUAGCACAUGGCAUUGGCGACACCCAGCCACACAGAUCUAGGAGCUGCCAUUCACGUCCUCAUCGCUGCAAAUGCAGUGUGCACCCUGUGCAGGACACCUUGCAGCCCAGGAUGACACAAAGUGGAUGCUAGAUAAACAUUAGCGGCAAUCAGUGACACUGUAUGAAACUCCCCAUCAUGGUGGAAACUUGUACUGAGAAAAGAUGGCCACUUCUCAGGGUCAUUGUAGCAAACAGCAAAGGUAGAGGCUUGAAUGUGAUGUCCUUGGAGUGGCCAUCCCAUGAUAACUUAUAAAUCUUUUAUUUUAUCACUGUUAUUACCCCUUCUACCAUAUUCCCUAUUUCUAACUCAUUGUCCCUUCUUUCUUUCCUGUUAAAACCUUUCUGCCCUUGAGCAAAGCAAAGAGCAAUAGCACCACCUGCUACCACCUACUAGAAAUGUCGUCUUGUAGAACAAAGAAAUACGCACGCCCUGCUGUUCUGCAAUCAGGCUCUGACAGAAGCUUUCAGGUGUGGUGCUUACAAGAUCAGACUCAUUGACUCACUCACUUCUCCCUGCUCCGUCACUACACUCCCAGGACAAGAUAUUUUGCUUAACAAAUAAUGACUACAUCCAACCAGAUAAGGAUACAAACAAGCACAUUCUUCCACUAUCAGUCCUCACCAGAGGACUCUGUGGCCAUAAAAAGAGUAAGGCUUCAGCAGCUCAACACAACUGACGCAGUCCUGCUAUCAGUUGCGAUAAGCACCUGGCAUCUGCCUACAAAGGCUCUGCCCACAUCAAAGACUCUUCCUUGCGAGACUGAGGGACUGCCCAGGCCAAGCCAGGAGAUUCUUUUUGUCUUCGUUGUUCUCCCUGCAAUGGUUCAUUAACUCUUUUUUCUCUCCCUUUUCUCUUGAUGUUAAAUGUUACUUUGUGAGCUGUGGAAUGUUUAACAUGUAUAUAGUGACCACGUAUUCUAUUACAUAUGGUUUUCAGUAUUAACUGACUUGUGGAGUGGCUUGAGCCUGUGUGCCCGCUAUUCUCACUACCGAGUGAAUGGGAAGUUCUGAGGAGAACCUCUUUCUUGGGAACUCCAUUGAGCUCAUGGUUUUUGUGAUUGAAACAGUAUCAAUAAAAGUCUGACCUUGUGGCAAGAUACAAAUGUAUGUGGACCUUGCACGGCUCAUGAGAGGCAUAACUCUGAAACAUGGGUCAGAAUUCCUGUCUUUCUGUUUCAAAUUGCUCAACAGUGCUAAACAUAUUGUUUUAGACAUAAUAGGAGCUUAGCAAAUGAGUAUUUCUGUAUUUGCUGGCUUCAAUUGCCUUGAAUUAACACAAGAAGCAGACCAGACUGGGGAAGAAAGUUAUUUGUAUAGAGAAAUUCUUAAAUGGCGAAUCUGUAAGGGGCAUUAUCCUUACAUUCUCCCUUCUCUCUGCAUGCCUCUAACCAAAGACAGACC
rnacentral:lncRNA from 10 species